GUUCAAGCAAUUUUUCUGCCUCAGCCUACAGAGUAGCUGGGACUACAGUUGGCUAUCCAGCAAUAUUUAUGGAUCAUUCCCAGGGAUGAAAGCACCUGUCAUCAAUCCUAUGCACUAACAUGGACGGGUCUCCACUGGACUCUGAGCUGCGCCCCAGCCAUGACCUUCCUCUCUGUAAGGUGACACUGCGGAGGGUGCCUCAGAGCAGCAUCACUGCUUUGGACACAGCUUGUGCGCCCCAGGAUGGGGUCUACCCAACCUCUCUCUUGGAUCUUGAUUUCCUUCCAGAUUGAGAGCACAGUGGCCACAGCAGUCCCAGCAUUUCUUAAAUCCCGGACUGUCUUGCUUUUUUCAAGGCGAGAUCUGGGGCCCUGCUUAGUCCUUAUUCCCAUUUCCCAGGGCUUUACCGCAGGUCCCUUGAGUUUGGUGCCAUGAGGAUUCCAGGGCCGAUUUCCAACCUGGCAGCAUCUGAAGGGGCUCUGGACCCUUCUGUCAUAUGACCUGAGGCGGAUUUCAGGCAACAGUGGAGUCUGAGAGGGUUGACUCUCUCUAAGACAAGGCAGAACUGGGCACACCCACGGUUAAUCCAAGACAGUGUGGCCCUGUACCUCCUGGGCCCUCCCAAUUACAGCUAAAACAUUGCAGCAUCUCAGAAGCAUGGGGAGUCCCUGAAAGGAAGAAAGAAGGAGGUGGGCACCCUGGAGGCCUCUGCUCAGCACCUUCCAUGAUCAAUCUCUCAGCAUCAGUAUAGUGUGAUGUCCCCAGCACACAUGUGGCAUAGAAGGAAGAUGGUGGGUGCCUCCGCUCAGCACCCUCCAUGAUCAAGCUGUGAGCAUCAGUAUAGUGUGAUGUCCCCAGCACACAUGUGGCACAGAAGGAAGAUGGUGGGUGCCCUGGAGGCUUCUGCUCAGCACCUUCCAUGAUCAAGCUCUCAGCAUCAGUAUAGUGUGAUGUCCCAGCACACAUGUGGCACAGAAGGACACAUGGCAGCCCCACAGCCAGAUCACACUCAAUAGUGAAGGGCUGAGAGCUUUCCCUCUAACAUCGAGAGCAAGGGUAGGCUGCCCUCCACCAAACACACACUUCUAUUCAGCAUCAAAGUGGAAGAGCUGGCCAGAGCAAUCAGGCAAGAAAAGGAAAUAAAAGGCAUCCAAAGACAAAAAGAAGUAGUUAAAUUGUCUGUUUUCUGAUGACAUGAUCUAAUGUAUAGAAAACCCGAAAGACUCCACCAAAAAACUAUUAGAACCGACAAAUAUCUUAUAACAUUUGUUUCUCUUUAGUAAUAGUAUUUAAAUUUCAUAAUUUUCAUAUUAAACUUUUAAUAACAUUUCUGUAUAUUCUAUUGGACUUUUAAUACAGAAUUAUAUGCACUGGAUAAUGAGGGUGUUAUUCCUUUUUGCAAAAGCUGAUAGAUUUCAUUAUUUUUUUCUUCCUUUAUUAAAUGGGUUAGCACUUCAGCAAUGUACAGAAUAAAUGUGAGCAGAGAAGGCAUCCUCAUCUUGAUUGAGUGAGAAAGAUUUCAACAUUUCUCCAACAAAUAUCAUGAUUCCAUUAUUUUGUAUAUACCCUUUCCUUAAGAUGAAGGGUAUUUAAUUAGAUUUUUAGAAUGCUAUUUUAAAAUUAAUUAUGAAUGACUUUUUAACUAUAUCAAUUUCAUUGUUUAAGGAUAUUUGAAUUUAUAUUCAUGAAUGAGUUUGGUCUGUAUUUUAUUAUUAUCACUUCUCUGUCAAGAUCUGGCAUCAGUUUUUUUUUCUGGCAUGUUAAAUUGGUUAGAGUGUAUUUAAUAAUUCUCUGUUGUCUGAAAAAUUUUGUAAAAAAUUGGUAUUAUUCCUUCAUUAAAUAUUUGGUAAAAUUCACUAAUAUAGUUUCUAUGGUCUGCAGUUUUCAUAAUAGUUUCAUUUUAUUUACAAAUU
rnacentral:lncRNA from 1 species